GUACGAACGCUGGCGGCGUGCUUAACACAUGCAAGUCGAGCGGUAAGGCCCUUUCGGGGGUACACGAGCGGCGAACGGGUGAGUAACACGUGGGUGACCUGCCCUCAGCUCUGGGAUAAGCCUGGGAAACUGGGUCUAAUACUGGAUAUGACUCCACGGUGCAUGUCGUGGGGUGGAAAGCCUUGUGCGGCUGAGGAUGGGCCCGCGGCCUAUCAGCUUGUUGGUGGGGUGANGGCCUACCAAGGCGACGACGGGUAGCCGGCCUGAGAGGGCGACCGGCCACACUGGGACUGAGACACGGCCCAGACUCCUACGGGAGGCAGCAGUGGGGAAUCUUGCGCAAUGGGCGAAAGCCUGACGCAGCGACGCCGCGUGAGGGAUGACGGCCU
rnacentral:rRNA from 1 species